rnacentral:misc_RNA from 1 species
GCAUAUCCUUCCCCGAAAACAAAAACGAAAUGCAGCGAAACAAUUUCUCUCUUCCCCGAAAAAUGGCGAUGUCUGCAAAGUCAGUCACCCGUCUCCUCCUCUUAACAACUCUCCUCUCCCUCUUCGUGUCUCUUACCGCUUCCACUUCUGACCCAGAAGAGCUCGUUAACGAGCUCCUUUCUCUACAAUCCCAAUCCAAAACAGGCGUAAUUCACCUAGAUGAUCACACCCUUUCUCGCUUCUUAACCUCCACCAAAACUCCUCGCCCCUACUCCCUGCUCAUCUUCUUCGACGCCAAGCAGCUCCAUGACAAGCAUGAGCUCCACCUCCAAGAACUCCACGGAGAGUUCUCUCUCGUCGCCUCCUCCUUCAUCCUCAACA